UGAGUAACGCGUGAGGAACCUGCCCUUCAGAGGGGGACAACAGUUGGAAACGACUGCUAAUACCGCAUGAUACAUUUGAAUCGCAUGGUUUGAAUGUCAAAGAUUUAUCGCUGAAGGAUGGCCUCGCGUCUGAUUAGCUAGUUGGUGGGGUAACGGCCCACCAAGGCGACGAUCAGUAGCCGGACUGAGAGGUUGGCCGGCCACAUUGGGACUGAGAUACGGCCCAGACUCCUACGGGAGGCAGCAG
rnacentral:rRNA from 1 species